rnacentral:rRNA from 1 species
UAGGGAAUAUUAGUAAUGGGCGAAAGCCUGAACUAGCAACACCGCGUGAACGAAGAAGGCCUUCGGGUCGUAAAGUUCUUUUACGUGGGAUGAGGAAGGACAGUACCACGAGAAUAAGUCUCGGCUAACUACGUGCCAGCAGCCGCGGUAAAACGUAGGAGACGAGCGUUAUCCGGACUUACUGGGCGUAAAGAGCGUGUAGGAGGCGCUACAAGUUGGAUGUAAAAGCUCCCGGCUUAACUGGGAGAGGUCGUUCAAGACUGUAGAGCUAGAGUAAGGCAGAGGUAGAUGGAACUCCGGGAGUAGUGGUGAAAUGCGUAGAUAUCCGGAAGAACACCAGAGGCGAAAGCGAUCUACUGGACCUUAACUGACACUGAGACGCGAAAGCCAGGGUAGCAAACG